CCCAGACUCCUACGGGAGGCAGCAGUGGGGAAUAUUGCACAAUGGGGGAAACCCUGAUGCAGCGACGCCGCGUGAGCGAUGAAGUAUUUCGGUAUGUAAAGCUCUAUCAGCAGGGAAGAAAAUGACGGUACCUGACUAAGAAGCCCCGGCUAACUACGUGCCAGCAGCCGCGGUAAUACGUAGGGGGCAAGCGUUAUCCGGAUUUACUGGGUGUAAAGGGAGCGUAGACGGUUCUGCAAGCCAGAUGUGAAAGCCCGGGGCUCAACCCCGGGACUGCAUUUGGAACUGCAAGGCUAGAGUGUCGGAGAGGCAGGCGGAAUUCCUAGUGUAGCGGUGAAAUGCGUAGAUAUAAGGAGGAACACCAUUGGCGAAGGCGGUCUGCUGGACAGCAACUGACGGUGAGGCGCGAAAGCGUGGGGAGCAAACAGGAUUAGAUACCCCAGUACA
rnacentral:rRNA from 1 species